GGGAUGGGUCAUCUACAUGUAUCGAAGAUUAAGUUCCGUCAUCCAAUACCAGAUGCCUUCUGCCCUAGGAAGUCUGUUCACAAUGGACAGCCUAGUCAGGACAUAGAUAAGUCAACUUGCAUGCCUGCUGAUUUCCAGAUAUACAUGGCCAUCUGUCUUUGGGUUCACCUGUUUGGACACAAUUCCAGUUGACUGGACGUGGAAUUCUCCUGGUGAAUUUGAUGCUUCCUCAAAUCCAGAUAUGAACUGCAUUAAACAUCAAAUUGUUACUCAUUCAUGGUUUCACAGAGAUUGUUAAUCAGUAGCGUAAGAUGUAUACAUCCCUCUCACAAACUCUUUCAGAUGUGAAAAUGGUUCAGUCACUUAUACCAAUUUGGGAGGAGUAUGAAAGGACGGGGAUACAUGAGGCAGCAAUACCUACUGAUCCUGCCAAACCACUUCCAGAAGAUACUUUGAAAACUGACAGGUAGUCAGAAUUUAAUAACAAACUUAUCAAAGUGCAUGGUGAAGCAGAAAGUUCUAUGUGUCGAACUCAAUUAAGGAAAGAUGUAAGGCCUGUGGAGCAGAUGACAUCUCCAAAAGAUGAAGGAAAUUUUGUUGGACUCCAAACUGAUAAUCUUAUUGAUGGAAACAUAAUUGGAUCUCCGUCAACACAAGAUUCUACUGAAGAAAGGGUUUCAAAUGCCAAACUGUCAUUGAAUAAGGAACUUCCAGCAUCUCAAGUGAUCGAGACGAUAAAUAUGAAGGCUGCAGAUAAUGAAGCACUGGGUCAUCCUUGAUUUGGCUGGUGAUUUAAUUGACUUCAAGGGAGAAAAGGAAAAAGCUUCUUACCCUUCAGAUCGAAACUCUUCGAAACCUUCAGAGGAAGGGUUCAGUGUUGGGAAACUGUGCCAUGAUGGCAUUUUUUGGGGUAAUUUGGGGAGAAAUGAAGAGAAGAAUUUUUGAGGAUGUGGUAGGGGAUGAGGUAGAGCAGCUUUGGGACUGUAUCCGAUUCUGGGCAUCGCUUUGGGCGUCUGCUUCUGAAGAAUUUAGGUAGAUUAGCUUUCAGCUCAUCCAUCUAGAUUGGAAAGCCGUAGUUUUGUAAUGUAGAGUUUUUUUAGCCUUUCUGUUUUGUGUGGUGGCCUUCUUGACCACCUCUUGUUCCGUUAGUGUCUUGUUCUUUUUUGAAAUAAAUAUAUAGGAUAGAGACCC